GCGGGUGUAGUUCAACGGUAGAACCCCAGCCUUCCAAGCUGGUGACGUGAGUUCGAGUCUCAUCACCCGCU
rnacentral:tRNA from 1 species